rnacentral:piRNA from 1 species
UAUGAGUUCAUCAGAUGCCGAUGCAGUC